rnacentral:rRNA from 1 species
CGACCGCUGGCGGCGUGCUUAACACAUGCAAGUCGAACGGAAAGGCCCUGCUUUUGUGGGGUGCUCGAGUGGCGAACGGGUGAGUAACACGUGAGUAACCUGCCCUUGACUUUGGGAUAACUUCAGGAAACUGGGGCUAAUACCGGAUAGGAGCUCCUGCUGCAUGGUGGGGGUUGGAAAGUUUCGGCGGUUGGGGAUGGACUCGCGGCUUAUCAGCUUGUUGGUGGGGUAGUGGCUUACCAAGGCUUUGACGGGUAGCCGGCCUGAGAGGGUGACCGGCCACAUUGGGACUGAGAUACGGCCCAGACUCCUACGGGAGGCAGCAGUGGGGAAUAUUGCACAAUGGGCGGAAGCCUGAUGCAGCAACGCCGCGUGCGGGAUGAUGGCCUUCGGGUUGUAAACCGCUUUCGCCUGUGACGAAGCGUGAGUGACGGUAAUGGGUAAAGAAGCACCGGCUAACUACGUG